CAGCAGCCGCGGUAAUACGUAGGUGGCAAGCGUUGUCCGGAAUUAUUGGGCGUAAAGGGCUCGCAGGCGGUUUCUUAAGUCUGAUGUGAAAGCCCCCGGCUCAACCGGGGAGGGUCAUUGGAAACUGGGAAACUUGAGUGCAGAAGAGGAGAGUGGAAUUCCACGUGUAGCGGUGAAAUGCGUAGAGAUGUGGAGGAACACCAGUGGCGAAGGCGACUCUCUGGUCUGUAACUGACGCUGAGGAGCGAAAGCGUGGGGAGCGAACAGGAUUAGAUACCCGUGUAGUCCCUGUCUCUUAUAC
rnacentral:rRNA from 1 species